rnacentral:lncRNA from 1 species
CUCUCUCUCUCUCUCUCUCUCUCUCUCUCUCUCUCUGUCUCUCUCUCUCUCGGUCGCAAUCCCGUUCCCUUUUUCUUCUUUCCCCCCGUUCUCGCUUCAGUUUGAAACGGCAAGAACCCUCUCUAGCACACAGUUCCUGCGCCCUUUCAUCCGAUUUCGAAUUCUGCUCCUCAGUCUAACUUGUCGGCCGGAAGGUCAACGGGCCCUAAACUUGAAGGCUCCGCUUGAAUCAGGGUCAAGGAACGCAUCUCUCCAGGAAUCGAAGGGAACCACCAGCAGCUGUUCUUGCGAGGAAGACUCACCAGGUAGGAACUGACGAUCUGACGGCUUUUGGAGGGGAAAGAGACCCGAAGCAGAUCUCGGCGGAGGAAUGAUUCACAGGAGAAACGUGCAGGGACGGCCGGCUCAUCCUCCCCGUCUUCUUCCCUUCUCCUAUUUAUAGUAGCCAAGUGAUGAAUGAUCCAAACUUGUGCCAAUUACAGACGGAAGACUGAACCAGACAUUAAUCAAGAUUUUCGCCCUUCUUGAGAACCCUUCCUGUAGAUUAAAACAGAAACAACUAUGUGGGGAUUUUAUUUAUGCUUUUAUUUAUGCAGCUGGAGGUGGGAUCUCGACUUAAUUUUGAGUUAGUUUUUUUACUGGUGGGUCUCGUCUGAUCUUCCUCAAUCCAAGUUCAUCUCACAAUAUCUUGCCCUGGUAUUUUCGUUUCCCCUCUAUAAUUGAUCAGCCUUACUGCUAAUGCAAAUUGGUAGCCAGUUCUUUGUGAUCUCAUAUUCCAUCCCGUCCUUUAGAUGAUAUGCCGCCUGUUCUUGCCAGAUCAGUCAACUCGGACGCAUCAGGUCUCCCUUGUGGUCGGUCUCCAAUGGUUUUCGAGCAAAUUGAGGUUGACUCUGAUGCUUGCUUAGUCUCUGUGCACAUUUUUUUCAAGUACUUGAAGCUAAUCUUCUAUGUUAAGUGACUGGUUCUUCAAGAAUAACUGAUAUAAAUUGGAAAGCUUAGUUAUUCGGGGAGGGGCUCAACUGGAACAUUUACACAGACUUUUUCAUCCUUCAAUGGAUCUCAUGGAAC